UUACGGCCAUAUCACUUUGACACACCGGUUCCCGCGCAAUCAUCAAAUUUAAGCGACGUCGAGCCGGUCAGUAUCAGGAUGGGUGACCCCGUGGAAAUAACAGGUGCGGUAAG